AUUGAACGCUGGCGGCAUGCCUUACACAUGCAAGUCGAACGGCAGCACGGGUGCCUGCACCUGGUGGCGAGUGGCGAACGGGUGAGUAAUAUAUCGGAACGUACCUUAUUGUGGGGGAUAACGCAGCGAAAGCUGUGCUAAUACCGCAUAAUCCCUAAGGGGGAAAGCGGGGGACCGUAAGGCCUCGCGCAAUUAGAGCGGCCGAUACCUGAUUAGCUAGUUGGUGAGGUAAAAGCUCACCAAGGCAACGAUCAGUAGCUGGUCUGAGAGGACGAUAAGCCACACUGUGACUGAGACACGGCCCAGACUCCUACGGGAGGCAGCAGUGGGGAAUUUUGGACAAUGGGGGCAACCCUGAUCCAGCAAUGCCGCGUGAGUGAAGAAGGCCUUCGGGUUGUAAAGCUCUUUUGUCAGGGAAGAAACAGCAGCUCUAACACAGUUUGCGAAUGACGGUACCUGAAGAAUAAGCACCGGCUAACUACGUGCCAGCCGCCGCAGUAA
rnacentral:rRNA from 1 species